ensembl:lncRNA
UUUUUUUUUUUUUUUUUGCCUGUUAUAAUAAACUAAGUUACUGAUAGACUUUUUUCAAGUUCAAGGUAGCACAUUGACUUGGCUCAUUAACCAUGUGGAUAACAACUGAAGUCACAGAUGACUGUGGCUUGAAGCAGGAUAAAACUCUGGCAACAGAUAGCAUGAAAGAAGAGAGCACCUUAAUCUCCGUGGCAAUGCCUUCAUUCCAUAGAAGACAAUGAAACUAGUUUAAAGAAAAAAAGGCAUUGGUAUGCCCAAUCAGAAAAUAAUCUUGUAAUUCUUUCCUUUCAACAAUUACCAUUCUGAAAGGUCUUACAUGGAAAAAGAUUUCAUUGGCUAUUAUGGAUAAUUUAUCAUGACCAUUUUUUAAAUGUACUAUUUCAACCAACUUCCUUUCAGUAUUGCUAAAUUGCUAUUGAUUUUCCUCUCAACCAAUCCUAACUAAAGAUACAGCCUUCCUUUCAAUUUCCAUAAUUUUGCCCCUCCCUAAUAAUUGUUGGCUGCUACUUGGAUUUCUAAAAAGAGUAGGUGUAGUCUUUGAGCCACAAAUUCUUUUUUUAUGUUUACUGUGGAUAUACUUUAUAAAAAGCGCAUAAUGAAAAUACACUUUAGACAAGUUUGAUUUAUUCUAUUUCUGUAUUUCUCCUUCCAGGUGAAGAUCUGAGAACAGUCCAAAACUAUUUACUGAAGAAUUCACGGCCAACUCUUGGAAUCCAGUACCAUAAUUUAGCCCUGCCCUAUCCAAUAUAGUAGCCGCCAGUCAUAUGUGGGGAUUGCACCCUUGAAAUGCGUUGAGUGGGAAUAGGGAUGUGCUGUAAAUGUAAAAUACACACUGGACACUGAAGACUCAGUAUGAAAAAACAUGUAAAAUAUCUCUUCAAUAGUUACUUAUACUUACUACAUGUUGUAAUGAUAAUAUUUUGAGUACAUUAGAUUAAAAUGUUAUUAAAAUUAAUUUCAUCUCAUUCACUUUACUUCUUUAUGAGGCUAUUUGGGAACUACUUGAAAAGAAAACUGAAGAUAAACGGAAAUGACAGUCAAUCCACACAAAUAAUUGGGACUGAGUGUUUCAGAUGUAAUGGUUCUAGUUUACUAUGUUUUUAAGAUCAACUUAAAAGUGAAGAACAACAUAAAGAAUGCUUAUAUAUAUCUGCAGUAACAUCAUAAGUAUAGUUCAUGAGUCUGUUGCCUAGCCCUUCUCAAAGGUCCUUGUGGCCAUUUAGCAGACAUGGACAUUGGGAAAUCUGCAGAUACUCAAGUCCCUUCUACAAAACAGCAUAGUAUUUGCAUACAAUCAACUCACAUGUUCCUGCAUACUUUAAAUCAUCUCUAGACUACUUAUAAUACCUAAUACAAUGUAGAUGCUAUGUAAAUAGUUGUUUAACUGUAUUGGUUUUUUAUUUGUACUUUUAUUGUUGUAUUGUUAUUUUCUAUUGUUUAUUUUUCUGACAUAUUUUCAAUCCACAGUUUGUUGAAUUCGUGAAUGCAGAACCCGUGGAUACAGAGGGCCAACUGUAGUUAAUGACAUUGAAGACACCAUGCAGAAAGGUGCUGAAAACCUAGCAGUUAUCCCAGAUACCUCAAACGACACGUGUGUGCCAGACAGCAAGAGACACAAAACACAGGGGCAGCAGCAGGUUAUCACAGAAGUCAUGACUGGGGUUGGUGUUCAGCAGCAAUCAUGACCAGCUCCAUUAGUAAAGUCCUAAGUGGACAUUUUCUGGGGUAUGACC